rnacentral:rRNA from 1 species
GCUUACGGCCAUACCACCCUGAGCACGCCCGAUCUCGUCCGAUCUCGGAAGCUAAGCAGAGUCGGGCCUGGUUAGUACUUGGAUGGGAGACCGCCUGGGAAUACCAGGUGCUGUAAGCU